rnacentral:rRNA from 1 species
ACUCAAAUGAAUUGACGGGGGCCCGCACAAGCAGCGGAGCGUGUGGUUUAAUUCGAUGAUACGCGAAGAACCUUACCUGGGUUUGACAUAUGGGUAGUAGUGAAGCGAAAGCGGAACGACCCUUCGGGGAGCCUUUACAGGUGCUGCAUGGCUGUCGUCAGCUCGUGUCGUGAGAUGUUGGGUUAAGUCCCGCAACGAGCGCAACCCUCGUCGUUAGUUACAAGUGUCUAACGAGACUGCUGGUUUCAAACCGGAGGAAGGUGGGGAUGACGUCAAGUCAGCAUGGUCUUUAUGUCCAGGGCUACACACACGCUACAAUGGCCGGUACAAUUGGUUGCCACACCGCGAGGUGGAGCUAAUCCUAAAAGCCGGUCUCAGUUCAGAUUGCAGUCUGCAACUCGACUGCAUGAAGGUGGAGUUGCUAGUAACCGCGCGUCAGCCAUAGUGCGGUGAAUGCGUUCCCGGGCCUUGCACACACCGCCCGU